rfam:Papio anubis isolate 1X1155 chromosome 14, whole genome shotgun sequence.
GUCUGCAGCCAUACCACCCUGAACAUGCCAGAUCUUGUUUGUUCUUGGAAGCUAAGCAGGGUUGAGCCUGGUUAGUAUUUGGAUGGGAGAAAUGAUAAAAUGCUUGAGGUGAGAGAGAUC